rfam:Pteropus alecto contig108944, whole genome shotgun sequence.
GGCUGAGGCCAUGCCACCCUGAACGAGCCUGAUCCCGUCUGAUCUCGGAAGCUAAGCAGGGUUGGGCCUGGUUAGUACUUGGAUGAGAGACCACCUAGGAAGACCAGGUGCUGUAGGUG